rnacentral:rRNA from 1 species
AGCGAACGUUAGCGGCGCGCCUAACACAUGCAAGUCGCACGAGAAACGGAGCAAUCCGCGGUACAGUGGCGCACGGGUGAGUAACACGUGGAUGACCUUCCCUGGAGUGGUGGAUAACCUGCCGAAAGGCGGGCUAAUACAGCAUAGGACCACGACGCUUUGGCGAUGUGGUGAAAGCGGGCCUCUAUAUAUAAGCUCGCGCUCCGGGACGGGUCCGCGUCCCAUCAGCUAGUUGGUGAGGUAACGGCUCACCAAGGCGACGAUCCGUAGCGGGUCUGAGAGGACGACCGCCACACUGGAACUGAGACACGGUCCAGACUCCUACGGGAGGCAGCAGUGGGGAAUUUUGGACAAUGGGGGCAACCCUGAUCCAGCCAUUCCGCGUGAGUGAAGAAGGCCUUCGGUUGUAAGUACUCGUUUCUAGUCAGGAACGAAACGGUAGGUA